GGUUCGUAGUGACCUGCGGAGGAUCAUUACCGAGUGAGGGCCCUCUGGGUCCAACCUCCCACCCGUGUUUAUUUUACCUUGUUGCUUCGGCGGGCCCGCCUUAACUGGCCGCCGGGGGGCUUACGCCCCCGGGCCCGCGCCCGCCGAAGACACCCUCGAACUCUGUCUGAAGAUUGUAGUCUGAGUGAAAAUAUAAAUUAUUUAAAACUUUCAACAACGGAUCUCUUGGUUCCGGCAUCGAUGAAGAACGCAGCGAAAUGCGAUACGUAAUGUGAAUUGCAAAUUCAGUGAAUCAUCGAGUCUUUGAACGCACAUUGCGCCCCCUGGUAUUCCGGGGGGCAUGCCUGUCCGAGCGUCAUUUCUGCCCUCAAGCACGGCUUGUGUGUUGGGCCCCGUCCUCCGAUCCCGGGGGACGGGCCCGAAAGGCAGCGGCGGCACCGCGUCCGGUCCUCGAGCGUAUGGGGCUUUGUCACCCGCUCUGUAGGCCCGGCCGGCGCUUGCCGAUCAACCCAAAUUUUUAUCCAGGUUGACCUCGGAUCAGGUAGGGAUACCCGCUGAACUUAAGCUAUCA
rnacentral:rRNA from 1 species